GGCAAGAUGGCCGAGCGGUUAAGGCGGAAGUUUCAAGGGUAUCCCCUUACCUGUACAACGGGCAGCAAGCUUCUGGAGCAAUCCACGCGAGUUCGAAUCUCGCUCUUGUCA